UUCACGCCAUUCUCCUGCCUCAGCCUCCCAAGUAGCUGGGACUACAGGCGCCCGCCACCACGCCCGGCUAAUUUUUAUAUUUUUGUAAAGAGAGGGUUUCACCCUGUUAGCCAGGAUGUUCUCGAUCUCCUGACCUCGUGAUCCACCCGCCUCGGCCUCCCAAAGUGCUCGGAUUACAGGAUCUCACUCUGUCCCCCAGGCUGAAGUGCAGUGGUACUAUCAUAGCUCACUGUAACCUCGAACUCCUGGGCUAAAGCAAUCCUUCCACCUCAGCUUCCCAAAGAGCUAGGAUUUCAAGUGUGAGCCACUGCAACUGGCCUCAUAAUGGAAACUUUAUACCCUUCGAGCAACUCAGCAUUGCCCCCUCCCCCUGCCCCUAACAACCACCAUUCACUGUCUGUUUCUAUGAGUUUGGCUAUUUUAAAUACUUUAUAAAAGUGGAAUCAAGUAGUAUUUGUCCUUCUGUGAUUGGCUUGUUUCACUGAGCGUAAUGUCCUCCAGGUUCAUCCAUGUUGUUGCAUAUGGCAGAGUUUUCUUCUUCUUAAAGGCAGACAGUAUUCUACACAGGUUUGAGCUUCUUCUGAUUUCUUCUCUGUCCAGCCUAUGUGACACAGCAAGAGAAAGAGAAAGAGAGAGAAAGGGAGAGGGAGAGGAAAACAGAGAGGAGCCAAAGAAACAUAAAUGUUCUGUGAUUAUUUUUAAGUCAGGAAUGAAUGUUUUUAUUUAUUUUUAAAUAAAACAGAAAAACACCUCUAAAACUCUUGGAAGGUUCAUGAUCAUCUGCCGACCUGUGUUUGUUUCAUUCAUGAAGUAUUUAACUCAGUCCACAUCCAACAAAAAUAUUUAAAGGGCACUCCAGAAUGUGUAUAACUCUGCCACGAGAGGGCUAGUUUGACUUGGCCAGAUGGUCACUUGAAUUCCAUCAUUCAUUGAUUGAUAGGCUUAUUAUUUCAAUAUACAUUUGUGAGGCACCUGCUAUAAGCUAGACCCUAGCAAGCAUAUUGACUGCCUCAUAGUAUACAUACUGGUGGUUGGAUAUGGAAGUUGAAUUUUAUUCUCUAGGCAGUCACAGAUGUCAUUUUGUCAUUUCUGUCUUUCCCUCUACAUCCUGCUCUGCCAUUUCUCUGGUGCACCAUGCCACAGGAGGCUCACUUUAUAAACUAGAUGAUCUGGACUCCCUUUCCUUGUGGCUUCAUGGAUUUGGCCAGUUGGUGAUCAAAAGGCAGGAGGAAAGAGAUGCUGAGGUCUUUAUUCCCUCAACUCCCUGCUUGCUGAGCUGGAGAUUGGUAGUAGCUGCAUUUUUCUAUUGAAAUUCACACCCCUGCCAGGCUUCCCCUUUCUUAUGGCUACCUUUUGCUGCAUGAGAAAUAAUGUUAUUUCUAUAUAGACAGUUAUAAUUAUUUGAACUUCUUUAUAUCACAUAUAAGUCUACCCAGAUUGGAAAUAAGAGUUUCUAUCAGCAUGUGAUUUAAAUUAUAGGAUAAGUAUUAUUCAACUGUUGCUUUUUUGUUACAAGAAAUAUUAAC
rnacentral:lncRNA from 1 species